AAACAGAGUGCCUCCGAGUAAUGGCGAAAAUUUGAACCGCAACCUGGAGGAGCAAGGAGAGAUUCGGAGAGCAGAGGCUCGUGGGCUUUCAUAUCACGUGGAAGGCUUGCUGUCUAGACACCUGCAGCACGGCCCUCUGCUAGAUCACCAUGGUCCAACAUUGGACACCCAUACCCGAUCUACUUUUUCAUCGAAUGCCAAUCAACAUAAAGAAGACGUGCCCUUCAAUGUUUCCUCCACAGCCCAUAGGAGAGAACAACAGAUUGGUGAUGGAGGAGAAGGGGCUGUUUCUCUCUCAAAG
rnacentral:lncRNA from 1 species